UGGGUCCACCUCCCACCCGUGUUUAUCGUACCUUGUUGCUUCGGCGGGCCCGCCUCACGGCCGCCGGGGGGCAUCUGCCCCCGGGCCCGCGCCCGCCGAAGACACACAAACGAACUCUUGUCUGAAGAUUGCAGUCUGAGUACUUGACUAAAUCAGUUAAAACUUUCAACAACGGAUCUCUUGGUUCCGGCAUCGAUGAAGAACGCAGCGAAAUGCGAUAAGUAAUGUGAAUUGCAGAAUUCAGUGAAUCAUCGAGUCUUUGAACGCACAUUGCGCCCCCUGGUAUUCCGGGGGGCAUGCCUGUCCGAGCGUCAUUGCUGCCCUCAAGCACGGCUUGUGUGUUGGGCUCUCGCCCCCCGCUUCCGGGGGGCGGGCCCGAAAGGCAGCGGCGGCACCGCGUCCGGUCCUCGAGCGUAUGGGGCUUCGUCACCCGCUCUGUAGGCCCGGCCGGCGCCCGCCGGCGAACACCAUCAAUCUUAACCAGGUUGACCUCGGAUCAGGUAGGGAUACCCGCUGAACUUAAGCAUAUCAAUAAGCGGAGGAACGAGUGAGGGCCCUCUGGGUCCAACCUCC
rnacentral:rRNA from 1 species